AGUUAGUACGAGGGCCGAUUGCAUUGACGAAGCGUGUGAUGUUCUCCAAGCCCAUGAAAGUGUUGGUGAAACUGCCAUGGACGAUUCUGAGCAAGAUCCCCAUCCUGAAAAUGCUCAAGGAGCCAAUCGAGAACGUGCUCCAGACCUUGCAUAAUGCGAAGAAGAAGACGGAGGCGACGAGGAAUCGGGUUCGAAGAAGAGCGACGAGAAGCCUCCGUUGCUGGAGGAGAUCACGAUCCCUUCGGUGAUGCAGCUGGCGGAGGCCGGGGUGUAGUUCGUGGCGACGGAGAAAGGCAUCUCGAGCAUCAACUUCGAGACAAAACCCUAACGUUCCACAUCCCGGCGAUCAACCUGGAGUGAACUCGAGGUGGUGUGAGGAAUCUGUGGCGUACGAGGGUGCACGCGUCCGGAGCCGCUGGUGCUGGCGCGGUACACGGAGUUGAUGAACGAGAUCAUCGACACGAAGGUGGACGCGCGGUUCCUGUGCGGGAAGGGGAUCAUCAUGAAUCAUCUGAAGAGCGAGAAUGAGGUGGCGGAGCUGUGGAACGGGAGCAGGUCAAUGAGAUUGACCAAAGUGCCAUCGCUCGAUAAAGUGAUAGCGGAUGUGAACAAAAUCUAUAGCCAGAGAUAGAAGAUUAAGAUGGCCAAGUCCAUGAAGGAGUAUGUGUUUGGGUCGUGGAAGAUUCUCACGGUUCUUACAGCCAUCACCAUACUAUUUCUCAUGUGUUUUUUUUAAUAUUAUAAAAAAAAAAAAAUGGAAGGAAACGGCGUGAGUAGGCCGUUUGUUAUGUGGGGUUAGUUGAACCCUUGUUCUAGACUAUGAGGGAGGUAUUUGCACCAAGGUCGAGUAUGGGGGGCUAAACGCUCUAGGGGGUCUUCAGGGACCAAUCUGCAGAUUUGCGCUAAAAGAAAUUAUAUGCAAUAAAUAAAGUGCUAAUAGUCCAUCUAGGCAUAACCCCAAAUACAAUUAGGCCUAGACAUAACCCCAAAAUAGUCCAUCUGCAAACUGCAGCAGCCUCACCUACUGGGUCGAGACCUAGUAAAUACGAUUAUUUAUCUCUCUAGAUUAAAUAGGGUUAGCUAAAGUUUUAAUUGACGAUGAAUAGUUGUUAAGAUGUUAACCAAAAGGAGGUUCGUAUGAAUGUGAGUGUGCUUGAGUUUUGUAACUCUGAAAAAAUUAGAAUUUUAAUUAAUACCUAAUUUCUAAUUAAAUUUAUAUUGAGUUUAAUUAAAAUUAUAUAUUUCAUAUUUUGAAUUUUGUAAUUAGUUUAUUUAAAUAUUUUUGAAGUAAUUAAUUUAAUUAAAUAUGAGUUAACUUAAUUAAUAAAAAAAAUACAAACAAAGGGUGAUACCCAACGUACAUUCGAAAAUGCAGUCAAAUUAAGAAUAACUAUACGUCUAUAUAGGGGUGUUAAAACGGGAUACGGGUAUCGGGUAUACCCGACCCGGUCCCGAUACCCGUGCGGGUUUCGGGUACCCGAUACCCGCUUUUUACGGGGUGCGGGUCGGGAUCGGGUAUUGAAAUUCCAAAAAAUACGGGUAUUGGGUAUACCCGUCGGGUAUCGGGUAACCCGAAUACCCGUCCCAUAUUUAAUUAAUAUAUAUUUUUAAUAUUUUAUAUAAUUUAAUUAUAUCUUAUUAUCUUAAUAUCCAAAAACAAAAUUCAAAAUCCUAUUCCUAAACCCUCCUAUGCUCCUACCCAGCAAUACCUGCUGCUUCUCUUAAUAUUUUAUAUAAUUUAAUAAUAUCUUAUUAUCUUAAUAUUUUAAUAUAUUUUUUUCAGUUCAUUGAAGGAUCAUAUGUUCUAUUACUUGUUGAAAUAAUGUAUAACUAGUAGUCUGACUUGGAUGAAUUUUUGUAUCUUUUUGAUGUAGAGCAUCAAAGACGUAAUAAUUAUGCUGAAACAAUUAUGUAAAACAAUUUGGAUUUUUGUCUCUCUUUGAUGCUAUUACAAAUAUGAAAUAUGUAAAUCAGAAGCAUUGCCGCAUUGUUAAGAUAAAAAGGACAGAAUCAAAUGCAUUAAGUUAGUAUAAAAAGGAAAAAAAUCGCAAAAUUCAUCAAAAUGCGGGUAUGCGGGUACCCUAAUACCCGCGUCGGGUACCCGCAUCGGGUAUUAGGGUACCCGACGGCAAUGUCGGGUCGGGUAUCGGGUAUGAUAAUUGCACAAAAAUCGGGGUCGGGUACCCGCAAAUAUCGGGUAGGGUACCCGACCCGCCCCGUUUAGACACCCCUACGUCUAUACGUAACCUGAUCUCAAAUUGGUCAGGAACACAAUCGAAUUAACAAUAAUUAUAAGUAACAUAAUCAAUUACUAGUUGGUACUGGUAUAAUAUUAUUCGGACUCCUACUCUUGUCUUUUUAUUUAACUAAUAUACGCUCAUAGCACGACUGACAUCGAAAUUAAACGAUAAAUUUAAAUAAAUAAAUAUAAAUAAAAAAAAAAUCAAAAUAUAAACAAAUACAAAAUAUUUUUAAUGAAAUAUAAUAAUUCACAUCAAAUAUCAAUCACUCAAUAAAAUCCUGAAUUUAAAAAUAUAAAUUUUCAAUUUAUACAAAGUGUAAUGAUAGUUAUAGUUAUUAAAUAAAUUUAAAAAUUAUUCGAUAAUGAAAAUUUGCACUAUGCAUGUAUUAUUCAUAAUAAUAAAUANGACAUGGCACUCGUCAUGGAGCAUACUCACUUGCUGGAUUUUUUAUACCACUUCAUCGUGCCUAAAACUGAUAUAUCGUUUCCGCCGCACGAAAUCGAAGACGGCGAAUUUGGCGGCGAGGAGGAGAAGAAGGAAGGGAUGACGGCGGCGGAGGCGUUUGCAGAGCCGACUCACAUGCGGAAGCUAGUGGACAUAGUGUGGGCAAUGGUGUCGAAGUUAGUACGAGGGCCGAUUGCAUUGACGAAGCGUGAGAUGUUCUCCAAGCCCAUGAAAGUGUUGGUGAAACUGCCAUGGACGAUUCUGAGCAAGAUCCCCAUCCUGUAAAUGCUCAAGGAGCCAAUCGAGAACGUGCUCCAGACCUUGCAUAAUGCGAAGAAGGAAGACGGGGGCGACGAGGAAUCGGGUUCGAAGAAGAGCG
rnacentral:lncRNA from 1 species